UGCAUUAUUGCUCUUCACGAGGAAUGCCUAGUAGGCACGAGUCAUCAGCUCGUGCCGAUUACGUCCCUGCCCUUUGUACACACCGCCCGUCGCUACUACCGAUUGAAUGGCUCAGUGAGGCCUUCGGACUGGCUCAGAGGGGUUGGCAACGACCGCUCAGAGCCGGAAARUUGGUCAAACUUGGUCAUUUAGAGGAAGUAAAAGUCGUAACAAGGUUUCCGUAGGUGAACCUGCGGAAGGAUCAUUACCGAGUGCGGGCCCUCGCGGCCCAACCUCCCACCCGUGUCUCUCUCUACCUGUUGCUUUGGCGGGCCCACCGGGGCCACCCCGUCGCCGGGGGACGUCCGUCUCCGGGCCCGCGCCCGCCGAAGCGCCCUGUGAACCCUGAUGAAGAUGGGCUGUCUGAGUCGCAUGAAAAUUGUCAAAACUUUCAACAAUGGAUCUCUUGGUUCCGGCAUCGAUGAAGAACGCAGCGAAAUGCGAUAAGUAAUGUGAAUUGCAGAAUUCCGUGAAUCAUCGAAUCUUUGAACGCACAUUGCGCCCCCUGGCAUUCCGGGGGGCAUGCCUGUCCGAGCGUCAUUUCUGCCCUCAAGCGCGGCUUGUGUGUUGGGCGUGGUCCCCCCGGGGACCUGCCCGAAAGGCAGCGGCGACGUCCGUCCGGUCCUCGAGCGUAUGGGGCUCUGUCACUCGCUCGGGACGGAUCGGCGGAGGUUGGUCACCACCACAGUUUUACCACGGUGACCUCGGAUCAGGUAGGAGUAC
rnacentral:rRNA from 1 species